CCGAGACGGGCGGAUCACGAGGUCAGGAGAUCGAGACCAUNAUGGUCUCGAUCUCCUGACCUCGUGAUCCGCCCGCCUCGG
rnacentral:pre_miRNA from 1 species